rnacentral:rRNA from 1 species
UACGGAGGGGGCUAGCGUUGUUCGGAAUUAUUGGGCGUAAAGCGCGUGUAGGCGGUUUGUUAAGUCUGAUGUGAAAGCCCCGGGCUCAACCUGGGAAGUGCAUUGGAAACUGGCAGACUUGAGUACGGGAGAGGGCAGUGGAAUUCCCAGUGUAGGAGUGAAAUCCGUAGAUAUUGGGAGGAACACCGGUGGCGAAGGCGGCUGCCUGGACCGAUACUGACGCUGAGACGCGAAAGCGUGGGUAGCAAACAGG